GAUGAACGCUGGCGGCGUGCCUAAUACAUGCAAGUCGAGCGAACGGACGAGAAGCUUGCUUCUCUGAUGUUAGCGGCGGACGGGUGAGUAACACGUGGAUAACCUACCUAUAAGACUGGGAUAACUUCGGGAAACCGUAGCUAAUACCGGAUAAUAUUUUGAACCGCAUGGUUCAAAAGUGAAAGACGGUCUUGCUGUCACUUAUAGAUGGAUCCGCGCUGCAUUAGCUAGUUGGUAAGGUAACGGCUUACCAAGGCAACGAUGCAUAGCCGACCUGAGCGGGUGGUCGGCCACACUGGAACUGAGACACGGUCCAGACUCCUACGGGAGGCAGCAGUAGGGAAUCUUCCGCAAUGGGCGAAAGCCUGACGGAGCAACGCCGCGUGAGUGAUGAAGGUCUUCGGAUCGUAAAACUCUGUUAUUAGGGAAGAACAUAUGUGUAAGUAACUGUGCACAUCUUGACGGUACCUAAUCAGAAAGCCACGGCUAACUACGUG
rnacentral:rRNA from 1 species